rnacentral:rRNA from 1 species
UGAGGAAUAUUGGACAAUGGGCGAAAGCCUGAUCCAGCCAUGCCGCGUGCAGGAAGAAUGCCCUACGGGUUGUAAACUGCUUUUGUUAGGGAAGAAACCCCGGGACGUGUCCCGGGCUGACGGUACCUUUCGAAUAAGGACCGGCUAACUCCGUGCCAGCAGCCGCGGUAAUACGGAGGGUCCAAGCGUUAUCCGGAUUCAUUGGGUUUAAAGGGUCCGCAGGCGGGCUGAUAAGUCAGAGGUGAAAUCCUACAGCUCAACUGUAGAACUGCCUUUGAUACUGUCAGUCUUGAAUGUGCUCGACGUAGGCGGAAUGUGCCGUGUAGCGGUGAAAUGCUUAGAUAUGGCACAGAACACCGAUCGCGAAGGCAGCUUACGAGAGCAAUAUUGACGCUGAGGGACGAAAGCGUGGGGAGCGAACA